rfam:Dipodomys ordii contig_5700, whole genome shotgun sequence.
GGUGGCUCAGUGGUAAAGCGCUUGCCUUGCAUGCAUGAGGACCUGGGUUCGAUUCCCCAGCACCA